UGAAAACAAGUUUCUUGUUUGUUAUUGAACAACCUAGUAUCAAUAUGUCAGAGUGGCUUUUGGUGUUUGCAAUUUUGUUCACCGUAACUAUUUCUUCGGAAACAAAAGACAUAACAGAUUUUAGAAGAUAUAGAGACUUAAAAGAAAACACAAAUGUAGAUGACAUUUUACAGGAAUUUCAAGGCAUGAAGGAGUAUGUUAAAAAGCUGAGCAAGGCAAUUGAACGUGCAGAACUGACAUGUCUACAGAAAGAAGAUAAUAGUGGCUGGUCUAGUUACAGUCUAUAGUCAGAAUGUACCGAGACAUGCGGCGGAGGAACACAAACCAGAACUAGAACAUGUUCAAAAUCUCUUAUAUCUAAACAUGCUAAGGGCAUUGCAGCUUGUAAUGGCUGUUCUGUACAAACACAGGCGUGCAACUUUACCCCAUGUCCAGUAAAUGGUGGCUGGUCCAAGUAUGGUGCGUGGACAAGUUGUAACAAGCCAUGCGGUACAGGACAAAAAACCAGGAGUAGAACAUGCACCAAUCCUUUGCCAUCUGAAGGGGGUUCUGCUUGUAAGGGAAGUGCUACACAAUCAGAUGUAUGUAACGAAAAGCCUUGUCCAGUAAAUGGUGCCUGGUCCCAAUAUGGUAAUUGGACAAGAUGUACCAAGACUUGUGGUAGAGGAACACAAACAAGAAGUAGAACAUGCACCAAUCCCUCUCCAUCUGCAGAUGGCUCUGCCUGUAAAGGAAGUUCUGUGCAAUCAAAAAAUUG